rnacentral:misc_RNA from 1 species
UAAUUACUAAGAAACAACAGCAUAAUUUAAUCACAAAUACCGGCAGUAAAUAUGAAGAAAGAAUUGUUAUGUGAAAUUAAAAUUACUUGUAAAAUGCAUAAAAAGCCACAUGGUUCUUUUCAAAUUCUACCGUACUUGUCUAAUUAAAAUAACUUAUAAUUGCCACACAGACACACAGAGUCUAGCGGGUUGAACGAGUGUAAACAAUAAUCAGGAAAAUUAGGUUUCUUGUUUCACAUAAAUGGCAAGGACAAUUAUAAUAUUUUAGCUUAAGAAAAGGAUUAUAUAAUCAUCCUCAAAAACAAGAAAACCAACCUUUGAAUGCUGCUUGGAAUGA